rnacentral:lncRNA from 1 species
CUAUUCCUACAUAAAAUCGCAAGAGAUCUGAAGUAAUCUUUUAGAUGAGAAAAUGUCACUGCUGUUAUAUAACUACAUAUGACACCACCUCCUCUCAGUCUGUCCAUCUGUCUGUAUGUCUGCCCUUUCUUCCCUCUUUUUUUUCUCUAGAGUCUUCUAUUAGUUAAUUUUCUAGUUGCUGGGACAAACUACUUGAAAGACAACAACUUAAGGGGAGAAGUGCAUGAACCUGUCAGGCAAGUUGUGUCAGCUCACAGAGAGUGACAAGAAAGAAGUGACCUACUUCCUAUAGCUAGGUACCAACUUCCUCUUCCCUGACCCCCAGCCAAGGAUCAUGUAUUUAAGCACAGAACCUAUGGGAGACAGUUUACAUUCAGACUAUAGCCAGCCUAUAGAAGAGCUUACACAAGUGACUGUCAGGUUACACCAAGCCCAAGGACCUCAGUCCUGAGAUGCAGCUGUUAUAAAUGUUUCAAAACUAUCCUUUAGCUUUCUGGAAGCUGACAUAAACACAUUUGAAUAUUUUAGAAAAAGAAAAUUUAAAAGAUGACUGGUGGUUUGAAUGAGAAUGGCCCCCCAUAGGCUCAUAUAUUUGAAUACUUGGUGGCCAGGGAGUGGAACUAUUUGAAAGGAUUAGAAGGAUUUGGAGGUAUGGCCUUGUUGGAGGAAGUAUGUCACUGGGGUUUUGGACUUUGUGGUUUCAAAAGCCCACAUUGGGGGCCUAUUCUCUCUCUCUCUUUCUUUCUCUUAGCCCCCCCCCUCUCUCUCCCCUCUCUCUCUCCUCCCCCCUCUCUCUGCCUAUGGAUAAGGAGGCAGAACUCUCAGUACUUUCCCAGCACCAUGUCUGCCUGAGUACUGCCAUACUCCCCACCAUGAUAAUGGACUAAGCCCCUAAAAUUGUAAGCCAGCCCCCAGUUAAAUGCUUUCUUUUAUAGUGCUAUCUGGGUCAUGGUGUUUCUUCACAAUAGGACAGUGACUAAGACAGGGAAAGCAUCAAGAGUCAGGGACAAGGCAAUAUUACUACUUCAGGAGCUGGGAAGUGGGGUGCUAUCUAGGCCACAGGCUGUUUUAGUUGGGUUUGAGUCAGAAAGGUCUUUGAUCAUUCAUUUCUUUGCCAGUGGGCAAAGUGGCUUGGGUGAGGCCUAGCUCCGAGUAACAACACGGUCUAGCUUAAGGACCAGCAUGCUGGGGCAGUGAUUCUCUUAAAGUAGGUCAGAAAUGUGUGCUUCUUAUGGUCAAAACGGAGGGUAAGAACCUUUCAGUGAUAUCAUAUAAAAAAAAUCCAAAGACGAGAGAUCAAGUAUUGAGGGGGUGGGGCUGGAGCAAAUAGAGAAACAUUAUAGUAAGAAUAUAGAUCACAGCUAGUGAGAUUAAAAAAAAAGAAUUUGCUAAAAUUAUACAUGAUGUCAACUAGAUAGUAAUUUUUUUAUGCCUCAGGUAAGCAAGAGAUAGGUAGAGGCCCUUGAAUGCCCACUGGUAGGUGUAACAUAAAAAAAAAAAAACCAUCAAUGAUGGAGCAAUCGCAUCUAUUGGAAGCCAUAUUGAAACACCCCCACUGAGAGAGAAUGACCCCCUGGAAAUCAGUAAGUGCUUUAAAGACAAGAAGUCCAAGCUGGAGACAUUAUGCCCGGUUUUUACUACUUAGUUUGAAGCUAUAGUCACCAAGACAGUAUGCGACUGAAUCAACAGAUAGGCCUGAAAUAUGUAGCCCAUUGAAUUUGGGCAAUGUUACAAGUAUUCUGUGAGAAUGGGCAUUUUCAGCCAAUAAAGCUGAAGCAGAGACCUGUACUCAUGAAAUUGAGCCUCGACUCAUAGUGAACACUCAGACAAACUUGACAUGGAUUGACAUAGACAUAGGCCUACAUAAAGCUUCCAAGAUAAUAAGUCAUCCUAAGAACACAUAGGAGGAACUUUCUGUCAUCUUUGUACAGGCAAAACUUAUUGUUCUGAUAUUUAAAAAAAAAGACCAUAGUUUUUAGAAUAUUCGAGAUUCACAGCAAAAUGGAGUAGAAGGCACAGUCAUUUCUUAUGUGCUCAAAUGCCCCUGAACAUGCAGCCUCUGGGGUGGAAAGCUACUCUUAGGAACCUGCACUAAAAGGUCAUUGUCACCUCCAUAGGCAUCCGUCCAAAUGUAUUUCCUACUUACAAUGGAAAAAUGUACAAUAGGUAUCCACUGUUUACAGAGUAGUUUCCUGCCCUGGAAACCCUAUGUAUUCAGCCCAGUCCUCCUGCCUAACAACAAUUAUUGCUUUUUAGAUAUAGAAACAAAGAAAAAAAUGUAGUUAUUAAAAUUGAAAGCUUUUGGCCCUUAAAAGAACUGUUGAGAAAAUGAACAGGCAACCUCCGCUAGUGGGAAUAUGCUUGAAAACACCUGAUU